UACGGGAGUGGCAAGCGUUAUCCGGAAUUAUUGGGCGUAAAGCGUCUGCAGGCGGCCUUGUAAGUCUGCUGUCAAAGCGUGGAGCUUAACUCCAUAUCGGCAGUGGAAACUGUAAGGCUUGAGUGUGGUAGGGGCAGAGGGAAUUCCCGGUGUAGCGGUGAAAUGCGUAGAUAUCGGGAAGAACACCAGUGGCGAAGGCGCUCUGCUGGGCCAUCACUGACGCUCAUGGACGAAAGCCAGGGGAGCGAAAGGG
rnacentral:rRNA from 1 species